rnacentral:ribozyme from 1 species
AAAGGCAUCCAUUGAAGAGCACAGUGUGGGAAAACUUUUUGCAUAUAUUAUAUAUAACUGUUUUUUUCAUAUAGUAUGUUAUACCAAUGUAUAAUAA